UUUGUUCCUGAAAGGGAAUAAGAGGCUCUCCACUUAGGGUUGCAAACACAAUACAAGAGGACCCAAGCCCCCUUUAUGGUUAUUACAAUAGAUGUGUGCUCACUGAGCUGCCAGCUAUUAAAUAAACGUAGGACUGGGCAUUAAUAUCAGAAAGCAAGAAGUGGUACCUCCUGCCAUUGGGUGCCUGACACAGAUGAGGUGGGUUCUGUUGUUGUUCUUGCUAUUCUUGUUGUUCAAUGUUUUUUGAAAUUUAAUUUAAAGACAAAGUGAUUUUAAUCUCUCCAAGCUGUGCAGGAUAGUGCUAUAGAAUUCAUUACAUCCAUUAUGCUCAUGCAAACGUUGAUGGUACACAAUCUUAGCAACACCCUAAUUUAUGCUGUUGUUUUGUUACUAUUCAGUGCAUAACAGGAUCUGUGGAGCCUGAUUCCAGGUGAGAGAGCCAGAAUACAGGUCAGCUCCUGCACAGCGCGCUUCCUAUUCUAGAGGGCCUCUCCACUCUGCCUCUGGAAGCCGUGUGGUGCGGGUGCUCCAGACCGCCGGGGAAAGACAAGGGGUGGCUUCCCAGAGGGACAGCUUUCCUGGAGGGUUCCUAUCCUACCUGAGAGUCUUCCCUGCAACUCGCAGCUUUCCACGUGCACCCUACCGUUACCUUUCCUUCCGACCUUCUGUCCUUCCAAGGCCCUGCAGCUGGAUAGUCUCAUACCUUGGACUCUUCUAAACUAGCUGCUUGCCUUGUUGAAUUACCCAGGGGAAAUGUGGUUCCAGAGACAAA